rnacentral:rRNA from 1 species
ACCUACGGGAGGCAGCAGUGAGGAAUAUUGGUCAAUGGGCUUACGCCUGAACCAGCCAAGUCGCGUGAGGGAAGACUGCCCUAUGGGUUGUAAACCUCUUUUGUCAGGGAGCAACGCCGGCUACGUGUAGCCGGACUGAGAGUACCUGAAGAAAAAGCAUCGGCUAACUCCGUGCCAGCAGCCGCGGUAAUACGGAGGAUGCGAGCGUUAUCCGGAUUUAUUGGGUUUAAAGGGUGCGCAGGCGGGCUGUUAAGCCGGCGGUAAAAAUUCAGGGCUCAACCCUGUCGAGCCGUCGGAACUGGCAG